CAUUCAUCAAACCCCAUUAAAAGGAGGGCAGGCCAAGGCAUUAAAUUUUGGCAAGUAGAUACCAAUUUAAUGCUCUCUAUCAAAAAUCCUACUCUCCCACACACACAAAAAAAACAUUUAAAACCAACUCUUACACAUGACGCAACAUAUUCAUUAAAAAAAACAACCAAUUAUGUGCUAUGUUAAUUAAAUUCACAUAAACUUAUCUUAAUUUCUUCUUCUUCUUCAUUUAUAAAAUAAAAAUGAGCACUGUAAUAAUUUCAGAAUUCAGACCCAAAGCCUUUUUUAGAUUCACUUGAUUAUGUGGGAUUCACCUAAUCAAGUAAAUUUAAAUUAUUCAUUAAAUUAUAUGGAAAAAAAAUUGGUCUAAAUUGUGAGCUCGUAGUGUUUGUCAAUAUAAAAAUAAAUAUAAUGUAUUUUCAGCAGUGUAUACCGACAUAUAGUGAGGUUCACUACUCAUAUAUUCAUUUUAGAAAGUGCAUACUCACAUGGGGUGGGGUCUACAACUCAUUUGGUCAUUUUAGGCAUUGCAUUGUCAGUGCAUACUCGCAUAUGAUGGGCUCCACAACUCACAUGUUUAUUUUAGAUAGUGCAUUGGCGGUACAUACUCACAUGUGCGUUAACUCCACAACUUGCAGUGCAUAUUCACAUGUGAUAUGACUUAUAUUUUUGUGAAUUUCACCACAUGUGAAUAUGUAUUUUAAACAAAUACAGUGUUCUUUGUAAAACUCUUUAUAAAAUCUAUCAAUUUAACAAUCCCACGUUGGACUAAUUAAUUAGAAGUUCUCAUUUAUUGUUUUAG
rnacentral:lncRNA from 1 species